GACGAACCGUCCAAACGUUAUUCGGAAUUACUGGGCUUAAAGGGUGCGUAGGCGGCUCUGCAAGUUGGGUGUGAAAUCCCUCGGCUCAACCGAGGAAUGGCGCCCAAAACUGUGGAGCUCGAGGGAGACAGAGGUGAGUGGAACUUGUGGUGGAGCGGUGAAAUGCGUUGAUAUCAGGAGGAACACCAGUGGCGAAGGCGGCUUUCUGGACGAUAACUGACGCUGAUGCACGAAAGCGUGGGGAGCAAACAGGAUUAGAUACCCCGGUAGUCCCUGA
rnacentral:rRNA from 1 species